GCCGACUUAGCUCAGUAGGUAGAGCAACUGACUUGUAAUCAGUAGGUCACCAGUUUGAUUCCGGUAGUCGGCACCA
rnacentral:tRNA from 2 species